rnacentral:lncRNA from 1 species
CCAAAGCUAACUAUCAUUAUCAGUUCUCACCUGCAGUGAAACAAGAAACAAGAUGAUGAAGGUGGCAUCAAUGUUUAAUCUUGGCACUGUCACAUUGGCUAGUAAAACUCAUGCAGGUAGGAUUGUUCGCAAAAAAAAAAAAAAAAAAGAGGACCAAACUUCCUCCAUCAAACGAUUACCCCAAGGAACCAUAGUCGGUAGUAAGAACCCUGGUUGCACAACCAGUCAUAAAGAUGGCUACUGGGAAAAUGUAUGAUCACUAGCCAUAGCCACUUAAUGGAAAGAAAGCUACACUACAGAACUGUGGCCAUAAAAGGAUGACUGUGUAGGAACCAAAAAAUCCAAUUAUAAUGGGUAACAAGCAAUUAAUGAGGAAAUAAACUGAAAACGCCAUUGACUGACAAAAGCCCAUGACUGGAUGUGCUGUUGAUCACAUACCACCAGAGUGCAAGCUAAUUGCUGGUCUUAAGGCACUGUUGACGCCUUUUUGGAGCGCCAAACACUCAAGAAGAACCGGCGGCGGUGCUCUCUGCACAGGGGCGGACGGUCCGCGCGCAGGGGCCGGACGGUCCGCGGCCUGGUGCGAGGCGCGGUGGUGCUCUCUGCGCAGGGGCAGACUGUCCGCGGCCUGUGGCCGGACGGUCCGCGGCCUGGUGCGCGGCUAGGGCUUCUCUGCCUGACGGUCGGACGGUCCGCGCCCUGGGGGCCGGACGGUCCGCGCGUACGCAGAGGCGGCGGAAGUCGCCGGCGGCGCCUGGAUCUCGCUCCCGGGAGGGACCCCGUCGGGGAGGAGAGAUCCUAGGUGGUGUCUAGGCUCGGGCCGGCCGACCUAGACUCCUCUAAUCGACGUAGAGCCGAAGAGAGACGAAGAAUUUGAGGAUUGGGAGGCUAAACCUAAACUAGACUAGAACUACUCCUAGGAUAAAAUGCGAAUAAAAGUUGUAUUGAUUCGAUUGAUGAUGAUUACAAAUCGGCCGUAGACCUCUCUAUUUAUAGAGGAGGGGGGCUGGACCCUUUACACAACUGAUUCCGAGCUAAUCCCGCGAAUAUAGCUAACAACCGUAGCACAAAACUCGGAACCCUAAUCUGUUCUGCGCACGCGCGGACCGUCCGGCCCACAGGCGCGGACCGUCCGGACCGCGGACCGUCCGGCCUCAGGGCCGGACCGUCCGCACGCUCAAUUCUGGUUCGAACAUAUGCCCCCCUGCCUUUUGGUGGAGCUGGGCGAACCAAAAGCAACUAACUCGAUGUUAUCACAUCGGUUUUCUUAGGCAUCUUGCCACUUACUAGGAUGGUACGCAGUGGCCUUGGUCUCGAUGGUUGACUCAACGGACGCGAUCCCUUUAGAUUUGAUCGAACUGUCAGUCCCAACAUCGCCGAGCGUCAUACUGGUCCUGACCAAUUCGUCACCUUGUCUUCCUAAUUCUCUAAGUGUUCUGGCGUAGCUCCGUAGUCGACCAGGUCUUCUCCUUGCAGGUCGUCUUCCUCCAUGGGCGUCGGUACGUCGUCGGAGGUGUCUUGGUGUAGUGCGGAUGGUUUGGCCUCAGGGGUCGGAUGGUCCGCGUCCUGUGCAGAUGAUCCGGCCUUUAUAGCCGGACAGUCUACCAUACCUGCAGAGAGAUGCACAGUUGUUGUUUUAUUUACUAUCUUUGUGGCCGUUUGACUUUUCUCAACGGCCUUUGGUCUCCAUCUCUUUUGCGGUGGCGGAUACUGCGGAUGCGUGUCAUUGAAUAUUCUUUCUGCCUCUUUUUCCUGAUUCUCCUUUGCUCUGAGGCGCUGUAAUUUUCGCUUUUGCGAUCGUGUCAAUUCCGAUGGACACCAUCGGGGCAUGGAGUAUUUUGGAUCGGCUAUUUUAUUGACAGUCGUACUUUCUUUUUUGUUUGUGUUGGCCGAUUCACCAAAAAUCAUCGGCCCUUCGUUAUUUUGUUGUACGACGACAUCUGUCGCUCCUAUUUUAAUGACCUCUCCCUUUUUCGUACUGUUGGAGGUUAUAGCUGUAUGUCCCCCUGCCGGAUUAGUCAGCCUUUGGGGCUGAGUUGUUCGGCAAUCUUGCUGGGCCUGUGCUCGUGGACCAGAUUGAGGGGCUCUCAAUCGGUCUUGUACUGGAGGUGUCAACCUAUUGAAUACAGAUGUUUGGGGUGCCCCCCAAGCGGGGUACUGUGGCAUCCCAAAUGGAUAUGGUGGCAUGCCCCACAUUUGAUUUGGGACAUAUGGUGGAGGUAUGUAUGUGUAUGGAUAUGACAUAGGUGGAUAUGGUGGUGGAGGUGUCCAUGCAGGUACGUUAGGUCUUAAUUGAACAUUAUGACCUUCCGUCCUUUCCGAUUGGUGUGGUGGUCCAAUCGGCCUAACCUGCCGUCGCACCUGGGUGGGUAAGCGAGGUCCCUUUGGUGGCCGGUCACUGGAGCCAGCCUUCUUUUUCACAUAUUUAGACAAUAAUUGAUCAAAGGUCGGGCUAGAUUUUACCAACCGACCAGUUGCCUUGAAUGUGUUAGUUUUCCACGUACCUAUUUCUGGUCGUCGUGGUUUGAAGGUACGUGGUUGCCGCGGCUCUUUGACGUUGCCGGACCGUCCGUCGGAACGCUUCGAACCGUCCGGUGAUGUUACGGACCGUCCGCGCCUAGACACCAGACCGUCCGCGAUGCGUAGUAUGGGUUCUCGCGCAUAUCCCCUUGUCUGUGCUUGCCCCCCAGCGCUGGAGUUUGUGAUGGUUACCUUCAGUGUCUCCCCUCCAUCAGGAGUCUUCUCGGCCAUCACUUUCCUGCAAGAAAUUUUGUUGUUUCCAUCGGCCUCCCGUGCGUUGCCGAUGAUGACUUCUUUGUCUUUGCCCUUAUCGGCUGUGUUGGGCCGAAUUAGGACCUUUUUGCCAUUAAAGUCGAUCACAUUCAUUGGGAAGGGCUCCGUGUCCUCCUGAAAUUUCAAUCGUCCCUCAUUAAUGGCCGAUUGAAUUUGUCGUCGGAACACAUUACAAUCAUUAGUGGCAUGUGAAAAUGAGUUGUGCCACUUGCAGUAUGCGCGACGCUUUAGUUCGUCGGCAGGUGGAACGAUAUAAUCAAUUUUAAUGUUACCAUUUUUUAGUAAUUCAUCGAAUAUCUUAUCACAUUUGCCGACAUUAAAUGUAAACUUAACCUCCUCUUGUCGUUCCUUUUGAACUGACUGCAAGGAGUAGCAAGCCGAAGAUUUGGCCUGCUCGGGCCAAACUAUUUCGGCAGUGUAAACUUUCUUUGGUUCAUCGUCCGAACUACUUUGAUUGUGUUCUACUAUAGGGACAUUAUGAUGAACCGUUCUGACUAGUUCUUUGCUUCGGUUUUCACAAGCCGAAGCUCUCUGAUGUAAUUGUGCUAGAGUAAAGAACUGGAUGCCUUCUAAUCUCUCUUUUAAAUAAUAGCGCAAUCCAUCAAAGGCUAUUCCCGCCAGUUGUUUAUCUGUUAGAUGAAUUUGAAAGCAUCGGUUUCUCGUAUCCUGGAAUCUCCGGAUAUAAUCACUAACCGAUUCAUCCUUCUCUUGUCGUAGGGUCACUAAGUCUACUAAAUCUAGCUCAUAAUCACCAGAGAAGAAGUGUUCAUGAAAUUUUUGCUCUAAGUCUCCCCAUGACAAAAUGGAAUUAGGAGGGAGCGUGGCAUACCAUGUGAAUGCAGUCCCUGUUAAGGAUAAUGAAAAUAAACGCACACGGAAUGCUUCGGUGUCAGCCAAUUCUCCUAAUUGUGCUAGGAACUGGCCUAUGUGCUCACGCGUGCUCUUUCCUUGGUCACCCGAAAACUUUGCAAACUCGGGUAUCCUAGUUCCCUGUGGGUAUGGGUGGUGAUCAAAUCGGCUGUCAUAAGGCUUCCGAUAUGAUUGCCCCCCAUGGAUCAUGCUUACUCCGAGCUUAUCUCGGAACGCCCCGGCUAUUUCUUCUCUCACUAUACCAAUGGCAGCCGGUGCAAGACCACCGGCUCUCUGGUCAAACAUAGGUGGGGUUGGUUGCAUGUUAGUAUGUUGUCGUUUCCCCCAUUGGUUUGAGCUACGUGGUGCAUUUCCAUUUGCGCUAUAUGGCUCAUAUGUUUGAUCGUUUCUUUCCGGCCUUCUAGGUGGGGCCGGGAAGCUUUCCUGGGCUCUGGAUCCUGAAUUAAUGGGCUGGUGCAUUGCAUAAUGUGAUGGGAAGUGUUGUUGGGACGGGCGAGGAUUCAGGUAAUAAUCCCCCUCAAAAGACUCAUGCGCGGACUGUCCGGAUACGUACCCGGACCGUCCGUGAUUAUAUGCGGACCGUCCGUCGUUGUAUGCGGACCGUCCGACUGGAUAGUUUAAAUUCGGUGCCCUAUGUGGUGGCUCGGGUGCGUGUCUAGGUAACUCAUUAAAAAUGGGCCCGACUGUGGCUGACCCGGACGGUCCGCGCUCGCGAGCGGACGGUCCGGACAUGUGUAGAUCGGCUGGUUUACUGCCGAUUUGCGUUUGCUCAGGGUACGUGUCCAUCGGCAUCCCAUAAGGGGGUUGUGACUGGUCGUGACAACCUUUAGCCGAUGUAUUACGUGUAUUAUCUCCUAAUUCAACCUCGUGUGAAGGAAAAUUUGCUAUACUAGAUUUAUCAAAUGCACGUACUAGUCUCCUACAAUCGUUUUGCAUAACCCCUAUGAUAUUUUGCAUCUGUUCUCGCUGUUCGUCUAUGUAAGCUUUAAGAGAUUGGAGUUCGUUGGUGCUACUUACAUUUGGGGUAAUCGUAGUAGGUCGGAGCGAAGCCAGAUCUGUCGCCCGUUGCCGAACGACUUUGUUGUUCCUGUCCACUUUGAAGUCAGCCAGGAACUUCGCCUUUGCUUCUUGGAUCAGCUGCUCCUGGCGCUCCUCGAACAGAAGUUGUUCUUCAGCCGGCAAGGCUUCCCAUGUCGGUGUGAUGAUAUUGCUGGUGGAAACCUCAGAGCUAUCUUUUGAACCGGCCAUUGAGGGCCGAUUUGAUAGGUCUAUAUGUGUUGUCCCCAGCGGAGUCGCCAAAAAGUAUGUUGACGCCUUUUUGGAGCGCCAAACACUCAAGAAGAACCGGCGGCGGUGCUCUCUGCACAGGGGCGGACGGUCCGCGCGCAGGGGCCGGACGGUCCGCGGCCUGGUGCGAGGUGCGGUGGUGCUCUCUGCGCAGGGGCGGACUGUCCGCGGCCUGUGGCCGGACGGUCCGCGGCCUGGUGCGCGGCUAGGGCUUCUCUGCCUGACGGUCGGACGGUCCGCGCCCUGGGGGCCGGACGGUCCGCGCGUACGCAGAGGCGGCGGAAGUCGCCGGCGGCGCCUGGAUCUCGCUCCCGGGAGGGACCCCGUCGGGGAGGAGAGAUCCUAGGUGGUGUCUAGGCUCGGGCCGGCCGACCUAGACUCCUCUAAUCGACGUAGAGCCGAAGAGAGACGAAGAAUUUGAGGAUUGGGAGGCUAAACCUAAACUAGACUAGAACUACUCCUAGGAUAAAAUGCGAAUAAAAGUUGUAUUGAUUCGAUUGAUGAUGAUUACAAAUCGGCCGUAGACCUCUCUAUUUAUAGAGGAGGGGGGCUGGACCCUUUACACAACUGAUUCCGAGCUAAUCCCGCGAAUAUAGCUAACAACCGUAGCACAAAACUCGGAACCCUAAUCUGUUCUGCGCACGCGCGGACCGUCCGGCCCACAGGCGCGGACCGUCCGGACCGCGGACCGUCCGGCCUCAGGGCCGGACCGUCCGCACGCUCAAUUCUGAUUCGAACAGGCACCUACUACGUCAGUGAUAGAGGAACCAAGGUAAAAAAAAGCAUUUUCUGAUAUUCCAUAAAAUGAGUUGUACCUGGGGCAACAGCAUCCGGAUUCAUCGCAUACUUGGAGAUGGUACUAGGGCGCAACACAAGACUCGGGCAUCAGGUUCCCUUUCAGUGCCAAACUCAGCUGCGCCUCGUACAUACUUGAUUAAAUCACCUAACCCUAAAUCCAUAUGGAACUGGUAGAAAAGGAAGCUCAAAAAUGGAAUGUUCAGUUUUGAAAAUCAGACUUGGGCAAAUUUCAGACCUACUGGGUUUUGCAGUCUGAAGCAGUUUUGGGAUGCUCCUUAAGGGCUGAUCCUCAUAGUUCUGGUUUAUAAGUUCUGUACCAAAGUAGAAGUCCAUACUUUGGUGUACAAGUUUGAUUAAGGAUAAUACCACUAAAACCA